rnacentral:sRNA from 1 species
AUCACGCGUUCGUUAUGUCUUUCAUAAUGCUGCCUGAUUUCGGCCGUUCGGCGGUCGCCUCGGGCGGCUACACCGUCCUCAUUGGCACUGGGUCCGGUCCGAGAAGAGAACCGGUUCCUCAGCCCCCCAGCCCCCCGGGCUCGUAAGGGCCGGACCCUGUGGCCAUGUUCCAGACGGUUCAUUCCCGAACGACACGCGGGCCGGUCAUGCCGGCCCUUUU